CGCCUCUUGAUUCCCAUAAGAGGUCCCGCCUGCCCUGUGACAAUGUUUAACGGCCGCGGUAUUUUGACCGUGCGAAGGUAGCGUAAUCACUUGUCUUUUAAAUGAAGACCUGUAUGAAAGGCAUCACGAGAGUUUAACUGUCUCUAUUUUCUAAUCAAUGAAAUUGAUCUUCCCGUGAAGAAGCGGGAAUAAAACCAUCAGACGAGAAGACCCUAUGGAGCUUCAAACACUUAGAUUAAUUUGCAAAAAUAUUUUUCCCCAAGGGCUUAACCACAUAUAAUUUUUUUAAUUUAACUGUUUUUGGUUGGGGUGACCAAGGGGAAAAACAAAUCCCCCUUAUCGAUUGAGUACUAAGUACUUAAAAACUAAAGCGACAGCUUUAGUUGAUAAAACAUUUAUCGAAUAUGACCCAGGAUUUACUGAUCAAUGAACCAAGUUACCCUAGGGAUAACAGCGCAAUCCUUUCCCAGAGUCCCUAUCGCCGAAAGGGUUUACGACCUCGAUGUUGGAUCAGGACAUCCUAAUGGUGCAACCGCUAUUAAGGGUUCGUUUGUUCAACGAUUAAUAGUCCU
rnacentral:rRNA from 3 species